rnacentral:rRNA from 1 species
UCGAUUAGCAUGCGAGUCGAGAGGUGCAAGACCUCGGCGCACUGCUCAGUAACACCUGUGACAACCUACCCUGUGGAGGGGGAUAACCCCGGAAAACUGGGGAUAAUACCCCAUAGGUUAGGGAGGCUGGAAUGCCCCCUAGCUCAAAGGUCCGCCGCCACAGGAUGGGUCUGCGGCCGAUUAGGUUGUUGUUGGGGUAACGGCCCAACAAGCCUUUGAUCGGUACGGGUUGUGGGAGCAAGAGCCCGGAGAUGGAUUCUGAGACACGAAUCCAGGCCCUACGGGGCGCAGCAGGCGCGAAAACUUUACAAUGCGAGAAAUCGUGAUAAGGGAACCCCGAGUGCCCGUAAAUUCGGGCUGUCCGCCAGUGCAAAAAACUGGUGAAG